rnacentral:rRNA from 1 species
UGUAAGCGUAUACCAAAGUUGUUGCAGUUAAAACGCUCGUAGUCGGAAUUUGGCAGUUCCGGAAGUGUGCACGUCGUGUGCGCACUUUGCGGGGACUGCUUUUGUGGUCUUGCGUAGGAUGAGGCACUUUCAUUAGUGAACGUCCUCACGCAACCACUCUUUACUGUGAGAAAAUCAGCGUGCUCAAAGCAGGCAUUUGCCGUGAAUGUAUUAGCAUGGAAUAAUAGAAUAGGACUCGGUUCUAUUUUGUUGGUUUGUUGGGACUGAGUAAUGAUUAAGAGGGACAGUUGGGGGCAUUUGUAUUCCGGCGCUAGAGGUGAAAUUCUUAGAUUGCCGGAAGACAAACUGCUGCGAAAGCGUCUGCCAAGGAUGUUUUCAUUGA